UACGUAGGGGGCAAGCGUUGUCCGGAUUUAUUGGGCGUAAAGAGCGUGUAGGCGGUCCGGUAAGUCCGCUGUGAAAGUCGGGGGGCUCAACCCUCGAAUGCCGGUGGAUACUGUCGGGCUAGAGUGCGGAAGAGGCGAGUGGAAUUCCUGGUGUAGCGGUGAAAUGCGCAGAUAUCAGGAGGAACACCUAUUGCGAAGGCAGCUCGCUGGGACGUAACUGACGCUGAGACGCGAAAAGCGUGGGGAGCAAACAGG
rnacentral:rRNA from 1 species